rnacentral:rRNA from 1 species
AGUGAACGCUGGCGGUAGGCCUAACACAUGCAAGUCUAACGGCAGCACAGUAAGAGCUUGCUCUUACGGGUGGCGAGUGGCGGACGGGUGAGGAAUACAUCGGAAUCUACUUUUUCGUGGGGGAUAACGUAGGGAAACUUACGCUAAUACCGCAUACGACCUACGGGUGAAAGCAGGGGAUCUUCGGACCUUGCGCGAUUGAAUGAGCCGAUGUCGGAUUAGCUAGUUGGCGGGGUAAAGGCCCACCAAGGCGACGAUCCGUAGCUGGUCUUAGAGGAUGAUCAGCCACACUGGAACUGAGACACGGUCCAGACUCCUACGGGAGGCAGCAGUGGGGAAUAUUGGACAAUGGGCGCAAGCCUGAUCCAGCCAUACCGCGUGGGUGAAGAAGGCCUUCGGGUUGUAAAGCCCUUUUGUUGGGAAAGAAAAGCAGCAGGUUAAUACCCCGCUGUUCUGACGGUACCCAGAGAAUAAGCACCGGCUAACUUCGUG